rnacentral:rRNA from 1 species
AUGAACGCUGGCGGCGUGCCUAAUACAUGCAAGUCGAGCGAACAGACGAGGAGCUUGCUCCUCUGACGUUAGCGGCGGACGGGUGAGUAACACGUGGAUAACCUACCUAUAAGACUGGGAUAACUUCGGGAAACCGGAGCUAAUACCGGAUAAUAUAUUGAACCGCAUGGUUCAAUAGUGAAAGACGGUUUUGCUGUCACUUAUAGAUGGAUCCGCGCCGCAUUAGCUAGUUGGUAAGGUAACGGCUUACCAAGGCGACGAUGCGUAGCCGACCUGAGAGGGUGAUCGGCCACACUGGAACUGAGACACGGUCCAGACUCCUACGGGAGGCAGCAGUAGGGAAUCUUCCGCAAUGGGCGAAAGCCUGACGGAGCAACGCCGCGUGAGUGAUGAAGGUCUUCGGAUCGUAAAACUCUGUUAUUAGGGAAGAACAUAUGUGUAAGUAACUAUGCACGUCUUGACGGUACCUAAUCAGAAAGCCACGGCUAACUACGU